rnacentral:rRNA from 1 species
UACGUAGGGGGCAAGCGUUAUCCGGAUUUACUGGGUGUAAAGGGAGCGUAGACGGCAGUGCAAGUCCGGAGUGAAAGCCCGGGGCUCAACCCUGGGACUGCUCUGGAAACUGUAAAGCUGGAGUGCGGGAGGGGCAGGCGGAAUUCCUGGUGUAGCGGUGAAAUGCGUAGAUAUCAGGAGGAACACCGGCAGCGAAGGCGGCCUGCUGGACCGUAACUGACGUUGAGGCUCGAAAGCGUGGGGAGCAAACAGG